GGUUAUUGUCAUCUGCUAGGGAGCGAAGAUCGAAGUAGUAUUUGGCGUAAACACUGGCAGGAACAUUGAUAUUAAACUGCAGUAGCUCCAAGAAGUGUCUUUCCAUCUCGUUCAUGUCCUCAACAGUAAUGUCCUUCAAUAUUUGGCAGUAAUCCACAUUCCAAACAGCCUGAUCAUCCCAGACUUUAGAAGCCAGUAGAAUAGCUCCUAAGACUAUCC
rnacentral:lncRNA from 1 species